rnacentral:rRNA from 1 species
AUUGAACGCUGGCGGCAGGCCUAACACAUGCAAGUCGAACGGUAACAGGGAUCAGCUUGCUGAUUCGCUGACGAGUGGCGGACGGGUGAGUAAUGUCUGGGAAACUGCCUGAUGGAGGGGGAUAACUACUGGAAACGGUAGCUAAUACCGCAUAACGUCGCAAGACCAAAGAGGGGGACCUUCGGGCCUCUUGCCAUCGGAUGUGCCCAGAUGGGAUUAGCUAGUAGGUGGGGUAACGGCUCACCUAGGCGACGAUCCCUAGCUGGUCUGAGAGGAUGACCAGCCACACUGGAACUGAGACACGGUCCAGACUCCUACGGGAGGCAGCAGUGGGGAAUAUUGCACAAUGGGCGCAAGCCUGAUGCAGCCAUGCCGCGUGUAUGAAGAAGGCCUUCGGGUUGUAAAGUACUUUCAGCGGGGAGGAAGGGAGUAAAGUUAAUACCUUUGCUCAUUGACGUUACCCGCAGAAGAAGCACUGGCUAACUCCGUG